CCUGACUUUGAACAUAAAUUGCAUCUGUUUUGCUGCUGCUCCCCUCCUGGCUGUUUGUAGCAGCCAGAGAGGACCUAGUUCUUGUAUCCCAGACCUUCAACCACAGCCUAACAGCCUCCAAGGGAUCCUCCCUGCUUGGGCUGGUGUUUGUGGCACUGCUGGUGGCUCUGCAGCCUGGAUCCCAAGGAGCGUUCCCAUCCCAUCACCACUGACUGCCAGCAUCGGGAUCACGGUAAGGCUGCUGCUCCCUGCCUCCAGAGUGUGUUCUGUGUGUGCCCUGCUGCCAGAGCUGGAGUUUGCUGCUUGCUUUUCCUCUUCCCAGUUAGAGUCUCCUCGGUCCCCUGUGUUUGGAUGUGUGC
rnacentral:lncRNA from 1 species